GAUGAACGCUGGCGGCGUGCUUAACACAUGCAAGUCGAACGGAAAGGCCCAAGCUUGCUUGGGUACUCGAGUGGCGAACGGGUGAGUAACACGUGGGUGAUCUGCCCUGCACUUCGGGAUAAGCCUGGGAAACUGGGUCUAAUACCGGAUAGGACGAUGGUUUGGAUGCCAUUGUGGAAAGUUUUUUCGGUGUGGGAUGAGCUCGCGGCCUAUCAGCUUGUUGGUGGGGUAAUGGCCUACCAAGGCGUCGACGGGUAGCCGGCCUGAGAGGGUGUACGGCCACAUUGGGACUGAGAUACGGCCCAGACUCCUACGGGAGGCAGCAGGGGGGAAUAUUGCACAAUGGGCGCAAGCCUGAUGCAGCGACGCCGCGUGGGGGAUGACGGCCUUCGGGUUGUAAACUCCUUUCGCUAGGGACGAAGCGUUUUGUGACGGUACCUGGAGAAGAAGCACCGGCUAACUACGUG
rnacentral:rRNA from 1 species